GAUUCAUUGUAUGCAUUUGGUCUCUCAGGUGUAUUUCCUAAACCAACAUAAAAAGAAAAUGAUAAGGGCAAGCGCGUGGAGGUGUUUAUGUUUUCAGCUCCAGCCAAUUACUUGAGACCUAAAAUAACAGUUAGUGCAGAUGGAAGGGUGCGGAUUAUGAUGCAGACUACAAUGGAAACCCAAAUCUCCUCUUGCAGAGCGAGCCCGGCACCCAGCUGUCGUCCACUUGCAUUUAGUGUGGCUGCCACCCAGCAAUUAGCACGCCUGGGCUGUCCUUUGGAAAAGGAGCAGAGAAGAACAAUACCACAGCAAGUUCUCCUGGACUCGAAAGCAGUCUGGCAAGCCUACCCUCAGUACAUCAAAGAAAUAUAUCCUUGGUAGGGAUAAACUUGAAAUUCAAAG
rnacentral:lncRNA from 1 species